AUGUGAGAAAUUGGGUGUCGGGAC
rnacentral:miRNA from 1 species